rnacentral:lncRNA from 1 species
UCACACAAUAUUCUCGAUCAUAAUCUAUCAUUUUUAGUGGUCACAUAUUGUUUAUUGAUCACAGAUUAACCAAUUUAAUGGUCACGAUCAAUCAAAUAAUACGUGACCACAACCAAACCACCACUCCCUUCAACAACACCAUCGCCUGAACCACCAGCACCAUCACCGACAACAACGCUAUAGUCUCAAACAAAAAAUCAACUCCAAAAUUAUCA